CGGGGCCGCGACCGUUACGGGUCGAUCCCGCUGCCUGCCUUCGUUUGGGUUUGGUUUCUUUCUUUCUUUCUUUUUUUUCUUUUCACGUCGGGCCGCGUAGCUGGGCCCCCAGGACCAAGCUGCGAGAAGCUGGAGCCGCUGGGCGAGCGCGCUCGCUCGCUCCCUGUUCGUGACCUGCAAGGGAGCUGAAUGUAGUCUGCAGAGUGCCUCUCCUAGGUAGCGGCCGUCAGGCUUGGACCCUCGUACCCGGUCUUCGGUGCCUCAGUGUCGUUUAAAUGCUUUGGCCUUGGGAUCUGAGCCUGCUAGGCGCGGAGUGCUCCCGCUCUCCUUCUGGUUGGCCCCCGAGAGUGGACUUGUUCCUCCUUGCAUCUGUGAAGCGUGGAUAAUAACUGUCUCCUUGCCUCCCAGGGCUUUUCUGAGGAGCCAUUAGUUAAUGUUUGUCAAGAUCUCUGAAGAUGCAAAGUGCUGUCAGUAUUAUAUCCCUCUUAGUUCCACACUGGGCCUUUGUUUCCGGAGUUUUAAAAAAAAAAGAAGAAAUAAUACAUCUUAACUAUUUUCCUUAAUUCUCUUGGUGCACUUGCCUGCAUAAGAGAGCCUGUAGGAAAGCUAUUGUCUUUAUCUGGAUUGGGGUCGACUACCUUUUCCUUCCAAAGGAGGCAGACAUACAUUUUUAUAUACUCUUCCUUUUGCAGCAAUGUAUUUAAAAAUGAAUAUUGAUAUUCAUAGACCAAGAACUGAUUGCACAAUAGGGGAGCCCUUGACUAGCAAAACUGCCCUAUUUAUAAAGCUUGUUUCCUAUUGAUUUUCUUUAACCAGAGUGAACCUUUCUGCUGGUUGUUAAAUUUGGUCAAUGAAAAGUGUAUAGAAAGCCCAAAUUCCCAUAGUUCAUAGUCUUUGUUGUGGACGCAUCUGGUUAAACGGUUUUGAUUCUUGGGUGUUUAUUUGUAAUCAUCAUCAUUUGAUUUGACCAGUAAAAUAACUGACUAAUGGGUGACAGAAGAAAAUCUCCCAGGUUUUAGAGAUAUUGCUAUGUACUAAGACUUUGACACAAUAGUUAAAAGUGGAGAAAAAAACUGUUUCAUGCACUUUACUUUGACUUUUUAAUUUUUUUUAUUAAAAAGACCUUUUUAUUUUACAAAGUCUGCCUUUUAUGUACAUUCUAUAUGUUCAUAAGCUUUUCUGUAACAUACUAAAGAAACUGAUAUUUCAGUAAACUGUGUUAAUGUUUUACCUCCUUUGUCCUGAAUAUUUGCCUGAGCUUUGAAAAGGAAAUGCACGCAUCUUCAGUCUUCCCUGUUGAGUGAUAGAGACUGUUUCUUUCCAGUUUUCUCCGCUGAACUGGAUGAGGUUUUUCACGCUUCAUCCUAAGCAAGAAGGAGCAGAAUUAAGCCUUCAAACUCUGCUUUUCCUUCUGUCUCUUUUUUAACAAUUGUGGGACUGAAAUGGCAAAAGCUCUUCAAGUGGCUAAAGUAACACGACUGUAGUCUGCUUUAGCUAAAUAGACUUUAGUCUAUCUUUAAACAUUAAAAUGAGCCACUUCUGACUAGCAGUGAGAUAGGUGGUGUGGGCUUAGGUGCACUCAGCCUCUUCAGGUGUUCAGGUAGUGUACCAACCUGUUAAUGCAAGUUUCUUCAAGUGUUAUUGUAAGAACAUCCCCAAAGGUGUCAGUUGUUUUCAAUGUGUAUUAUUUUAUGCUGUUUCUCAGUCCUCUGUGUCCAUUUUGUCUGUAUCUGCAGUGGGGGGUUCAGGCAGAAUUGAAGAACAGGAAUGCUUUUCAGUCUUACUGACGUACUUUAUUUUAACAGGAUUUUUAACGAGUUUUUUUCUAGGUGUGGCAGGAUAUAGAAAAUGAAGUAUUUGUAUCUCGUUUGCUUUUUGAACAUGUAUUCAUAGAAGAGGCAAUCAUAUGGCUCAAAAUACAGCCAGAUAAGGCACAGACAAAGGAAAAAACAAUCCUCUUUAAGCCCCAGAUGCAAGUGCAUAUCCUGCUGUAUCAAACAGCAGCAUAAUCUCUUUUACAUCUGGGCAGGCACUUCUCUUGAUGAAGGCAAUGGUGUGCUCUGUGGUUACUACGCAAGUAGGUGCUUUUUUCAGUAUGUCAAGCACUAACCUUCCCCCAGACUCUGAGCGCUGUGCACUCAUAUGUACCGGCAGGAGAUCUUUGGUCUGUUAUUCAUUUAGUUAGAUUAAACUUUGCGUGAGGAUAAUUUUCUCCAGCAGUUGGGGAGGGUUCUUUUUUCUCUCUCUUUUUUUUUUUUUCCAAUAGGACAAGAUGAUAGUUCUACAAAAGAAAACCUCAUGGUCAGUUGGUUACCUAUAUUAGCUAUUCCAAGUGUGUUUCUGUAUUUAUUUUAAAAUGUUACAUCAGCCUCCAAGACUAGCUUCCAUUCAAUUGCUUAACUGACAAGGCUCUUUAUUGAACUUGUAUUUAUAGUUCACAGCAUUUAUCUCUCCGAACAAUGCACAGAAUCCCAUGUGACAUUCCUCUGCUAUUUACAUGAUAAUACACAAUUUAACUGUGUAAUUCAUAAUUCUUCAGUGCUGUUUGUCAGCAUUACUUUCUAACUCAGAUGCAGAAGCUCUGUCGCAUUCACCUAAUGAAAAUACAUUUAAAGAAUAAACUGCUGGCAUAAAUUUUAAACCACCAUGAAGAGCAAACUGCUGUGCCACAAACAUCUAAGGUUGCAUUUUGGUUUAAGUAUUUUGGUAGGUAUCAGCACAACUGUGGUUUUGAUGGAUAAUAGGCAAUAAAUCCCGUUUGCGAUGUCUUUAGAGCCAGACCCUAGGUAAUUACAAGUUUCAAAAAGAGACAUGAUUUUCUAUUUGAUGAUUGGUAACUACCUCAAGUUAUAUAUAGGUUAUGUGUUCAAAAAUGGCUCAAAAACGUAUAGUUAUAGGUUAAUGAAACUAGAGCUACUGUGUUAGAGAAGCUGUGUGCUACUGGAAGAAGUAGGCUUAUUCAAAGAGGAUGUAGAAAACUAGCUUGAUUGAAUUAUGAUACUUUUCUGUGGAACUUGCUGCAUUUUAUUCUGCUACAGGUCAUCUGCUUCUGUGCUAGAGAAAGCUUUGAAUUACCAUCACAUUAAGGAAGACUAACUUUCUCUCCUCUGUAUGAUUUCUUUAAGGCAAACAGUGUCUUGUAAAUUCUUGGUCUGGUACAUUCUUUGCAUUCUUUAGCUUUAUGUGCUGUCUGAUGUUUGACUAUCUUUCAGCAGAACAAUGGGGUGAAAUUCUAUAAAACUUUUUUUUUUUUGUGUUAAUGUCAUUUGUACCAGUCUAACUCUGCUUUCUUGCAGUGAAGUUUCUUUUGACUUAGAGUAGUAGGAAAGGCAGAUCAGACCGUUGCUUAUUUGAGGGCUAGAAGACUUUAAGACCUGGAAGGUUUAAGUAGAAAUUAAUCUGUGAUAGGAGGAGUUACCAGUUCUGUUUGUGCAUUGCUGGCAGCUGAGCAGGGUACACCUGAAGUUAAAAGAAGCGAGCUGUGUAACUUAUAUAAGAGAUUCAGGCUGUAGGGUUUUAGGCCUCACUUCAGCAGAAUGCUUAAGGUUGCCCUUAACUUUCCACUGCUGCUCACUCACAGGCUUUCAGUUAAGUAUGGGCUUAUGUGUUUACUGCACUAGGGCGUUAAUCGGACAUGGGUUGCUGCACAGAACAGAGAAGAAGCAUCAAAAGGCUGAGUGGGGGUUGGCAGCACGCUGGCUGUCCCAGAUCCAGGGCAGAGUUUUGUGUUUUUCAGCUCUGUGGAGAUUCAUGUGCUUAACUGAUAACACUAGCUUUAGAAAAGAAAAUUUCUAGAGGAUUUUGUAGUGCGAAUGCACUUCAUUAAGUCCUAGAUUUCAGCAUGUUUCCUUCUGCAGAUUUUUCCUUUUAUUGGAAUCUAAGGGAGUGGGUGGGUGAGGGGGGUUGUUACUACUCACAGCUUGAUGUCACUGAGACAUUACGUCCAACUCAUACUAGCGUGAAGGGAGGACUGAGUUCAAGGAUUCUGAGACCUGCAUAAAGGGUGUCAAAAUUGUGUUUGCGUGGAGAGUGAGUUACUGCUGAAUCUUUGGGGUGCAAGGAACAGCAGAAGCUCAGUGAAUUCAGUAGAUUUCCCACUUACUGAACAAAGCAAGACUGGCAUUUGCAGAACAAAGAUCCCCUUUUGUUUGUCUGUGUAUGAAGUAAUUUCAAAGCUGGAUUUAUUUGCAUUGUGGCUUUCCCGUUGAGGAUUUCCCUCUCCAUUGGGAAGUUCUUUCCAGGGGCAGAAUUCCCUUGCCUUGCACACAAAAGCUGCUGCCCAGGCAGAGAGCGCAGUUCAUCGCUGAUGCCCCACUUCACUGGCUGCCUGAGGUCAGGUCAAUCUGUUUAAAGAUUCUGGAAAUUACUUGGGCCUGUGGAAGAACGUUAAAAAUAAAGUUAGUUACACUUUGAAUUACUUGGCUUACAGCAUGUCUUUAAUAUCACCAGCAUAGUUUUUGUGGUUUGACUUUUCCUUUGAAGUUUGGUGCAUUUUUCUUAAUGUUAAUAAUACUCAGAAUUUUCUCACCGACAUACUAGGUGGCCCAGGAGUAGCUUGGAUGUGAGAUCAUAUUAAGACUUAAUCCCAUUUUGCAUGUUAUUCCUACUUUGCACCCACAGCAUAAAAUUUAAUCACUCCUUCAGAGCGGCGCUCCCUGGAUUGAAUGCUGUGAAGCUCUCACACCAGCAGGCCAGGCUGUGCAGUAACAGCACCUGCCGGGGCCCGCAUGGCUCCUGCGACUGUCCAUGGCCUGGAAAACCUUUCACCGUACCGUCGUGGGUGCUAACGCGGCUCACCACUGAAAUCAACUGGCACAGCUGUGAGCGGAGGUUAUUUCAAAGGACAGUGACUUGCAUCCGCAAAUAGUAUUUCACUGUGAAUUAACUGGCAUUUUAACAAACUUUAUCAGUCUCACCUUCAGUGAUGGUUUAACCUAGCUCACUGUACUUUGCAUGGAAGCCAGGCAUGAGGAGGAGCCAGCUAUUGUGUUACACCUGUAGUUUCUCAACCCUUUAUGUGGGCUGUGGCUUUCCAUCGCCUGACCCAGGCAGAGGUGCAGCCUGAGCUCACCAGAAGAAAGCAGGACAGCAGCAUCCCCAGAUAACUGCUUCUGUGUUUUCUCAUUAGUAUUUCCCAGUACUUCAGCACUGUUUACUUGUGUGUCCUGUAGGAUCUGCUUCAGUAAAUAUCUUCCUCUUCCCCUCACUUAAAGUCAGAUAUACAACCUCUGCUGCCCCUUUGCAUCCUGAGGAUUUCACACGCCUAGGUCAGACUCCUGGUGGAAGGUCCCUGCAGAGCUUCUGGACUUCAUAGUCCCCUCAGGAGGAGCACAUGUGCAGGCCUGCUUGAAUCAGAGCCACAACUGUGCGCAGGUGUGAAAGGAGCUGUGCAAACAAAGGAAGGAGAAUUAGCACAGCUAAAACCAGGCCAGCAUUGUGAAAAGGAAAAGAGCGUUGGCUGGAUUAUCAGAGGAUGAAAGACAAUAAGCAACGAAGAGGGUCUGAUGCGGCAAUUGGACUGGAUGAUUCUGAAUGAUCCUGCUAUUCACCACUUCUUUUUGUGGUUUUUGUCUGUGGCACUCUGACCAUUUCUAUAAGGAAGCAAACCCACGGGAAGACUGGUUGUGCAAGAUGCAGACAUCACUGACUCAGAGAAAAGAGAGCAGGCAGCCUGAAAACCCAGAAGCCUCCAGUUCCUAUUCCAGGGAGGGAAAUGCAGGUAGAUUUCAACCAGGAUAUUUAACAUCACACAGCACUACAGCAUGGAUGGGAAGAUAGACACAACUGGAAAGGUGUGGGGAGAAGCAACCUCAAAACUGAAGUUCACACCAUUUGGAAGUGGCUUGGUGAAAAAAAUCACUGGGUGUUUGGGCAGGCAAGUCUCAACGUGGAAAAGAUGCUGCAGAAGGCCAGGAGCAUCCCAGGAGUAGGGACAAAAGGCGACGAUGCCCCUGCGUCACCUGCAGCCCUGCCUGGCAAAGAAGGUGUCGGGGAGCAGUGAGGCAGAGGAGAGGGCAGAGGCGGGGACGAAGGCAAGCCCUGUGCCGUGACAGUGCCAUCCCACAGGGGCUGAGCCAGCACAGAGCCAGUGACUGAAACCUAUGCUGAUCCCAAAAUCAAGGCAACAUAUAUGGGAAUUGAAGAGCUUCAGUAAGAGACGCUGAGUCCUACCCCAGAAGGCCCAGCAGACCAAGAAUUGGAGCAUUUCUUUGAGGAAUAGAAGUUCUGGCUUCAAGUCUAUCAAGCAGACAGCAUCAUUGAGCCUAGGCUCUAUUACUGCAGGAGACUGGUGGCUGGGCAAGAACAGAGAACCUGUUGAACUGAGUGUGGUCAUGCUGCAGAGGGUGGAAAGGCUAAAGUUCAGAUUUGCAGACCCAAAACAUCAUGAUGGUUUCUGCACUUCUCAGCUGCUGAGUCACGUACUUCUUCACCUGUGAAGUUUGCAUCAUCUGUGGAAGUUGUAUAGCAGUGGUAAGCCAGUACUCGGCAUCUGAAAGGAUGUGGCAGGAAGCUGUGGCUGAAGACAUGUGGCUCCUAGAUAUGCCAUCCUGGUUCAUGGACUUUAAUAAGAAAUCUCAGACUAAUUAAGCUUUAAUACUGUACGUAAGGAAGGCUGACAGCUCUGCUGUAGCCUGACCCAUAUCUCAAUGUGCUUUUGUGCCUGCAAGAUUUUUUUUCUUCCUUCCCCUGCUGUAAUCCUCAUGGAACAUCUGCUUGAACCAGAAACAAAUGGCAGCUUGUUCUCUGGAUGCAGCGUCCUUGUCUGAACACUCUGGCCCUGAAAUCCUUCAGUGCUUUGUUCCUGUAGUGUUUUUUCCCCUCUAGCACCACAAGACUCGAUUAAUCCAAAUA